UUCAAUUUUCCAAAUGUGUGUGUGUGUAUAUGUGUGUGUGUAUGUGUAUAUAUAUAUACACAUACACACAUAUAUAUACACAUACACACACACACACA
rnacentral:miRNA from 1 species